GGUCGCUGCCUCAGCAGCUGGACGCCGCCUCCUGGGUCUCAGUGCCCACCUGUUUCCCGUACAACAGUGCGUGCCUGCGGCAGUUCUUGUGAGCGGAAGAGCAAAUGCAUGUGGAUCAGGUUGAACUCCCAUGACUAUCAGUGGAAGUGCUGGACAGAGAACAAAUGCAGAAUAUGCUAUGGAUAUCUGCAGUAGAGCUCAGAUAAGAUGCUUUUAAAAGCCCAUGAUGCUUAUAUGUCUGCAUGUAAACAUAUUCAAGCCCACCUAGAACCCUAAGAAUCUCGAGUACUGCCAAGUUAAACCCCAGACUGCAUGGCUGGUUUAUAAAGAGCUCCAGGAGCUCAGCAACAACAAUACGUGAUGCAAAGGACCCAACCAGCGAACUCUGGGGAUGAUGAGGUUUCUUCCUCCCUCAAGCUAUGAAGGGAGGAAACGAGAAGGUAGCUUAUUCUUCUGGCCCAUUCCAUCCUUGGAUUUCAGUUUUGAUGGCAAUACUUAGUCACCAGAAAUCAUCACUGAGACACCAAGUCAUUUCAAAUCGUAAGCUACUGAAGAACUGUUAUAAGGUAAUGACUUUCCCUCACUAACAACUCGCCUGGCUUCACUCCGAUGAACUAGAAUGAAAGGCGCUGAGAUUUAUCAGCACCAAGCGCAAGCCAUUUGUGGGAGCAGUUGUUGUGAUGUAAGGAUGUGGGGGAGGUGACAGAGACCAAAAGCCAUCUUCCAUUUGGUAAGGCAGGGCUUUGAAUUCUAGGGCGGGAGAUAGGACGGUGGCAGGUGGCAGCUUACAGCAGAAUCUCUUUUCUGGGGUAUAUAGUGCCUGAAUUAAAAUAACUGUUAAAUAAAAGCUCUCAAUGCCUUACUAAGAACACUGCCACAUCAUUCAGUACCCUGCUCCAUAAUAUGUCUCAGAUUUAUUUUAUUGCCAUAAAAGCACAGGGCAAACCUAGAUCCUGUGUGAGCCACAUGAAGACCCUGUCUGAUACACAUAGUGACCCUGUGCCUCCUAUCUGACUCCCAGCCUCCUGUGGUUCU